CCGAGUAGGUGGCAGGUUGUAGCCCUGUGCAGGCGGGUACAGUCCCGUUCUUACCAA
rnacentral:tRNA from 1 species